UUACGGCCAUAUAGCGUUGAAACAUCGGUCCCCCUGCAAUCACCGAAGUUAAACAACGUCGUACCUAAUCAGUACUUAGAUGAGUGAUCGCUUAGGAAUACUAGGUGCUGUAAG